AAGAGACAGCAGUAGCCGCGGGAAAACGUAGGUGGCAAGCGUUGUCCGGAAUUAUUGGGCGUAAAGGGCUCGCAGGCGGUUUCUUAAGUCUGAUGUGGAAGCCCCCGGCUCAACCGGGGAGGGUCAUUGGAAACUGGGAAACUUGAGUGCAGAAGAGGAGAGUGGAAUUCCACGUGUAGCGGUGAAAUGCGUAGAGAUGUGGAGGAACACCAGUGGCGAAGGCGACUCUCUGGUCUGUAACUGACGCUGAGGAGCGAAAGCGUGGGGAGCGAACAGGAUUAGAUACCCCCGUAGUCCCUGUCUCUUAUAC
rnacentral:rRNA from 1 species